rnacentral:rRNA from 1 species
UUCUUCAAAAAAAUUUUUUAAAAAAAUUAAUUAAUUAAAAGGAACUCGGCAAACUUAGUUGCUUCGCCUGUUUAUCAAAAACAUGGCUCUCUGCUUAUAUAAAUAUAGGGAGUCGAGCCUGCCCAGUGAAUUUUUUAACGGCCGCGGUACUCUGACCGUGCAAAGGUAGCAUAAUCAUUUGCCUUAUAAUUGAAGGCUAGUAUGAAUGGUUUGACGAGAGCAACGCUGUCUCUUUUUUAUUUCCAAGAACUUAACUUUUAGGUGAAGAGGCCUAAAUUUUAUUGAAGGACAAGAAGACCCUGUCGAGCUUAAAAGACAUUAUAGAAGUCUAUAUAUAUUUUAAAUAAAUUUUCUAUUAAGCUUUUUAGUUGGGGCGACUAAGGAACAAAAAAAGCUUCUUGUUAACGAUAAACAAUCAUGUUUAGAUCCGAUAAUAAUCGAUCGGGGGAAUUAGUUACCGCAGGGAUAACAGCAUAAUCUCUCUUGAGAGACCUAAUCGAAAGAGGGGGUUGUGACCUCGAUGUUGGACUAGAAUAUCCUAAAGGUGC